GGUUAUAGGGAGCUUCCCCCGCCCCCCGGCAUGGCCUGCCCUGCCCUGGCCUAGGCCCGGAGCCGGCUGCAGGCUCCUCCGGCCGCCCCCGGCUCCAGCUCGCGAUCCCCCGCCGCCAUCUUCACUUCAAGGCAAAGUCUCUUAAAGACAGAUGCAAGAAAAAUGUCAAGGACAAGUCCAGGACCCAGUUGGAAAAGUUUCCCAAUCGUUUUUGUCCCAAAACUAUUCUGAACUGUACUCACUGUGGUUAUGUAACAGGGAGACCAGAACUGAAUGCAAUAUUCCAAAAGUGGCC